UACGUAGGGUGCGAGCGUUAAUCGGAAUUACUGGGCGUAAAGCGUGCGCAGGCGGUUUUGUAAGCCAGAUGUGAAAUCCCCGGGCUUAACCUGGGAAUGGCAUUUGGGACUGCAAGGCUGGAGUUUGGCAGAGGAGACUGGAAUUCCUGGUGGUAGCAGUGAAAUGCGUAGAUAUCAGGAGGAACACCGAUGGCGAAGGCAGGUCUCUGGGCAUUAACUGACGCUGAGGAGCGAAAGCAUGGGGGAGCGAACAGG
rnacentral:rRNA from 1 species